GGGGCUGUUCCAGGAUUCGACAAAAAUUUUGAAGUUUGAGGUGCAUGUCGUGGGGUGGUUUGCCACGUUAAAAGCCACAUUAAAAUAGUCGCAAACGACGAAAACUACGCAUUAGCAGCUUAAUAAACUGUUUAUUGCUCUCCCUACUCAGCUUUGGCUCGUUAAGACGAGGAUUCAUGGGAGAUUUAAACUAAAACGCGCUAGCUCAGUAUCUUUGCCUGAAAGAUAAAGGGUGAAAUUAAAUCAGGUUAGCCUUUUGUGCAAUGCGCUGUCGAUUCGCAAGCAUUGGUGAAUUCUAAAAAAUUGACUAAGCAUGUAGUGCUGAUUAUGGAUAGUUUUUGGACGCGGGUUCGACUCCCGCCAGCUCCACCA
rnacentral:tmRNA from 1 species